rnacentral:rRNA from 1 species
UACGUAGGGGGCUAGCGUUGUCCGGAUUUACUGGGCGUAAAGCGCGUGUAGGCGGCUUCGUAAGUUGGAUGUGAAAUCCCACGGCUCAACCGUGGACGUGCAUCCAAAACUACGUCGCUGGAGUCUCGGAGAGGAAGGUGGAAUGCUUGGUGUAGAGGUGAAAUUCGUAGAUAUCAAGCAGAACACCUGCGGCGAAGGCGGCCUUCUGGACGAUGACUGACGCUGAGACGCGAAAGCGUGGGGAGCAAACAGG